rnacentral:rRNA from 1 species
UACGUAGGGGGCUAGCGUUGUCCGGAUUUAUUGGGCGUAAAGAGCUCGUAGGUGGUUCGGUAAGUCGGAUGUGAAAUCUCCAGGCUCAACCUGGAGGGUCAUUCGAUACUGCCGUGACUAGAGUUCGGUAGAGGAGAGUGGAAUUCCUGGUGUAGCGGUGAAAUGCGCAGAUAUCAGGAAGAACACCCGUGGCGAAGGCGGCUCUCUGGGACGGUACUGACGCUGAGACGCGAAAGCGUGGGGAGCGAACAGG